CAGCCUCCAGUGGUGCGUGUCACCUUCCUGCAAGGCAACCCGUUUGCAGCUCUAGCCAGAGGGAAAAUUACUGGACAACAAAAUGAAAAGGAGGCAUAAGUCAGCCCAGAUCUCUGAACCCUAGGAA
rnacentral:lncRNA from 1 species